rnacentral:rRNA from 1 species
UGGGGAAUAUUGGACAAUGGGGGAAACCCUGAUCCAGCAAUGCCGCGUGAGUGAAGAAGGCCUUAGGGUUGUAAAGCUCUUUCGCCCGCGAAGAUAAUGACGGUAGCGGGAGAAGAAGCCCCGGCUAACUCCGUGCCAGCAGCCGCGGUAAUACGGAGGGGGCUAGCGUUGCUCGGAAUCACUGGGCGUAAAGGGUGCGUAGGCGGGUCUUUAAGUCAGGGGUGAAAUCCUGGAGCUCAACUCCAGAACUGCCUUUGAUACUGAGGAUCUUGAGUUCGGGAGAGGUGAGUGGAACUGCGAGUGUAGAGGUGAAAUUCGUAGAUAUUCGCAAGAACACCAGUGGCGAAGGCGGCUCACUGGCCCGAUACUGACGCUGAGGCACGAAAGCGUGGGGA